rnacentral:tRNA from 1 species
GAGGGUGUAGCUCAGUGGAAGAGCGUGUGCUUAGCAUGUAUGAGGUCCUGGGUUCAAUCCCCAGUGCCUCCA